rnacentral:lncRNA from 1 species
UUUUUUAUUAACUAUGCGUAUUUUAAUUGUUCUUAUUAUUGUUUCCUUUUCUUUUUUUUUCUGUUACCACAAAAAUUUAUCUGAUGUGAAGCAAUUUAAAAUUCUCUAGUAUCGAUAGGUAAAUUAUGGCGCGAAAUAUGAAAAAGAAACUGAAAUCCACUUGCUUCGGUAGUCACAUGAUUUAAUAUCACUUAAAUAUGUAUAAACUACGUCUAAAAUUAACAGGCAAAUUAUCCGAAACAGAACUGUGCAAGGCUUUACGUGCAUUACGAUAUUUAUCUAAGCCAAGUAAUUUCUUCGGACUUAAUUUCUCCUUCUUUUCAUCCAACGACAAAUCAAGUUUAUCUAAGAGAGUUGAUGGAGUCAAAGGAACUUCCACAGAUUUUUCCAAUUUUCUUUGCUUCGGUGGUGAAGAACUAUUAUCGUCUAUAAAGAUAAUGAACACAUAUAUAAAACUCUGAAUAAUAAAAUAAUUCUUAAACAC